rnacentral:piRNA from 1 species
AACAAACUAGCCCAGAUCUGAGA